CAAACUCCAAGCGUAGCUUGAUGUUGGUCGGUGUGUCUGCUGGGGAUUUUCCGGGAGACACAGGACUGGAACGCGUUGGCGCCGCCGCCAGACCACGAGCGUAGCAAGACGAGAGUCAAGAAUCGCGUCGGAUUGGAGCUGGCGGAGGGUGGCCUGUUUUGGAUGUUGCGUUCGCCCAUCUUGAGGUGCGUGGACAGAGAGAUUUGUUCAUGGACGAGAGAUGUGGAGGAGGGAGAUAUUCACAGACAA
rnacentral:misc_RNA from 1 species